AGGACGAACGCUGGCGGCGUGCUUAACACAUGCAAGUCGAGCGGAAAGGCCCUUCGGGGUACUCGAGCGGCGAACGGGUGAGUAACACGUGAGUAAUCUGCCCCUAGCUCUGGGAUAGCUCCGGGAAACCGGGAUUAAUACCGGAUACGACCACCUUAGACAUCUUUUGUGGUGGAAAGAAUUUCGGCUAGGGAUGAGCUCGCGGCCUAUCAGCUUGUUGGUGGGGUAACGGCCUACCAAGGCGACGACGGGUAGCCGGCCUGAGAGGGCGACCGGCCACACUGGGACUGAGACACGGCCCAGACUCCUACGGGAGGCAGCAGUGGGGAAUAUUGCGCAAUGGGCGAAAGCCUGACGCAGCGACGCCGCGUGGGGGAUGAAGGCCUUCGGGUUGUAAACCCCGUUUCAGCAGGGACGAAGCGAAAGUGACGGUACCUGCAGAAGAAGCGCCGGCUAACUACGCGCCAGCAGCCGC
rnacentral:rRNA from 1 species